UACGUAAGUGGCGAGCGUUAUCCGGAAUUACUGGGCGUAAAGCGUGCGUAGGCGGUUUAGUGUGUGGGAAUUGAAAGCCCGGGGCUCAACUCCGGACCCGGUUCCCAAACUGCUAGACUCGAGCAUAUCAGAGGACAGUGGAAUUCCCGGUGUAGCGGUAAUAUGCGUAGAUAUCGGGAGGAACACCAGUGGCGAAGGCGACUUCCUGGCCUGUUCUUGACGCUGAGGCGCGAAAGCUAGGGGAGCAAACGGG
rnacentral:rRNA from 1 species